rnacentral:rRNA from 1 species
UUAUCUUUGAUUCUUCGGAUGAAGAGGUUUGUGACUGAGUGGCGGACGGGUGAGUAACGCGUGGGUAACCUGCCUCAUACAGGGGGAUAACAGUUAGAAAUGACUGCUAAUACCGCAUAAGACCACAGAGCCGCAUGGCUCAGUGGGAAAAACUCCGGUGGUAUGAGAUGGACCCGCGUCUGAUUAGGUAGUUGGUGGGGUAACGGCCUACCAAGCCAACGAUCAGUAGCCGACCUGAGAGGGUGACCGGCCACAUUGGGACUGAGACACGGCCCAAACUCCUACGGGAGGCAGCAGUGGGGAAUAUUGCACAAUGGGGGAAACCCUGAUGCAGCGACGCCGCGUGAGCGAAGAAGUAUUUCGGUAUGUAAGGCUCUAUCAGCAGGGAAGAAAAUGACGGUACCUGACUAAGAAGCACCGGCUAAAUACGUGCCAGCAGCCGCGGUAAUACGUAUGGUGCAAGCGUUAUCCGGAUUUACUGGGUGUAAAGGGAGCGUAGACGGCUGUGUAAGUCUGAAGUGAAAGCCCGGGGCUCAACCCCGGGACUGCUUUGGAAACUAUGCAGCUAGAGUGUCGGAGAGGUAAGUGGAAUUCCCAGUGUAGCGGUGAAAUGCGUAGAUAUUGGGAGGAACACCAGUGGCGAAGGCGGCUUACUGGACGAUGACUGACGUUGAGGCUCGAAAGCGUGGGGAGCAAACAGGAUUAGAUACCCUGGUAGUCCACGCUGUAAACGAUGACUACUAGGUGUCGGGGAGCAAAGCUCUUCGGUGCCGCAGCAAACGCAAUAAGUAGUCCACCUGGGGAGUACGUUCGCA